rnacentral:rRNA from 1 species
UCGAGGAUCUUCGGCAAUGGGCGCAAGCCUGACCGAGCGACGCCGCGUGUGCGAUGAAGGCCUUCGGGUUGUAAAGCACUGUCGAGGGGGAGGAAGCCGCAAGGUUGACCUAUCCCUGGAGGAAGCACGGGCUAAGUUCGUGCCAGCAGCCGCGGUAAGACGAACCGUGCGAACGUUGUUCGGAAUCACUGGGCUUAAAGGGCGCGUAGGCGGGUCAUCAAGUCCGGGGUGAAAUCCUCCAGCUUAACUGGAGAAUAGCCUUGGAUACUGGUGGUCUCGAGCGAGGUAGGGGCAGCUGGAACUUCCGGUGGAGCGGUGAAAUGCGUUGAUAUCGGAAGGAACGCCGGUGGCGAAAGCGAGCUGCUGGACCUCUUCUGACGCUGAGGCGCGAAAGCCAGGGGAGCAAACGGGAUUAGAUACCCCCGUAGUCC